ACUUAAAAGAGGAGAACGGAAAAAUAAUACAUUUUAUGAUAAUGUAAACGUUCCUAUAAGGGGAAAUGACUUGCAGUAGGAGAGUCUGCGCAUUGGCUACAAACGUUGACAUUGUUGACAAAUGACAGGUUUAGAAAGUCGUUUUUGUAAAUGCAUUGUACCGAUUUCACGUGAUUUUUUCAUUGUUCCAAUUUUAUUUCGCCUCAACUCAAGUGUUGUUGAAAGUAUUGGAAGUAUGCCUGAUCAUUGUUUCAUCGGGUCCUGUAGCAGCAGCGGUAAUAUUCCUGGAGUUCAUUAUUUUAGUUUUGGGUCCAAGAAAAAGGAAUGGUUGGAGAUUUUGGGAAUCUCAGGAGUGGAAAAUAUGAGUCCCAGAAAUAAGCUUUGUUCCAGGCAUUUUGAUUGUUGUGAUAUCAACUUUCCAGCUACUCCUAGUGGACCAAAAGAUAAGAAAAGUCUUGUAUGUUACAGAUGGAAAAAUUUCAAGUGAAUCUCAAUUUUUCAAUCAUUUUGUUUUGAAUGUUUCAACCGAUCUACUCUACUGGCCACUAUUCUCUGAUUUAGACAGUCAUAAUAAAGAAUUUUUGACACUAGCAGAAAAUCAUAAGUCCAGGAUAAUCAAGUCUUUAUGCAUUUCAUAUUUGAAAAUUAGACUUUUCAAUUUAGCAAAGUCACAAAGCUAUGAGAUUAAAGGCAAUUUGAUCAGAAAAAAACUGAGCAAACUGAUUUUAUUCAAUCAUCAGUAAAUUUUCAUCUUCCUGUCAUGUAAAUAUCUGAUUGUUCUUCCACAUAUUCAAUAACUAUAUCUUUCAGAACCACAAAUCUGUUGUCUACAUACCAAUGAGUAGAUAAAUAUCUAAUUUUAGAUUCCACGACUCGGGUCAAAUUAAGUUUCCACUAGACUGUAGAUGUCAUCAGUAACCUCUUGUCUUUUCGGUAUAUUAUGUAUAAACUUCAAUGAAAAUAUUAAUCACUUGAUUGACAUUAACAAUUCCAUUACACAACUUUGUAUACAAUUCUGUGAUGUGUUAUUGUUAGAUAUUAUUGAAUAUCAAAAUAAUUCCAAUAACAUACAAAAUAAUCUGACAUUCCAGAGAAUGCAUUGGAAUACAGUUAUGUAACGUUUAUGAGAUUUUUUGUAAAUUGGUUAGAUUUCACUCGAAUUUCCAUGUGCAGACUCUCAACUGGUUUGGCUGGAUGACAUUUUCUGUAUGUUAAGUGAAUGAUACCACAAAAAAGUAGUUUUUUGCAAUGUAUAGCAAUGUUUUUGAUAUUGGAAAUUACUAUCAAGUUAUAUUGUUUGUCAGAACAUGAUUAUUAUUUUUAUUGAUUUGUAAUUAUCACAUUAAAAUAAAUUAUUCAUUACUA